GGUAGGGAGAAGGGAAUUCCUGGNNUAGCGNUGGAAUGNGCAGAUAUCAGGAGGAACACCGAUGGCGAAGGCACAUCUCUGGNCCGUAACUGACGCUGAGGAGCGAAAGCGUGGGGAGCGAACAGGAUUAGAUACCCUGGUAGUCCACGCCGUAAACGGUGGGUGCUAGUUGUGGGCCACAUUCCACGUGGUCCGUGACGCAGCUAACGCAUUAAGCACCCCGCCUGGGGAGUACGGUCGCAAGACUAAAACUCAAAGGAAUUGACGGGGGCCCGCACAAGCGGCGGAGCAUGCGGCUUAAUUCGACGCAACGCGAAGAACCUUACCAAGGCUUGACAUAUAGAGGAAACGUGCAGAAAUGUACGCCCCGCAAGGUCUCUAUACAGGUGGUGCAUGGUUGUCGUCAGCUCGUGUCGUGAGAUGUUGGGUUAAGUCCCGCAACGAGCGCAACCCUCGUCCUAUGUUGCCAGCACGUAAUGGUGGGAACUCAUGGGAGACUGCCGGGGUCAACUCGGAGGAAGGUGGGGAUGACGUCAAAUCAUCAUGCCCCUUAUGUCUUGGGCUUCACGCAUGCUACAAUGGCCGGUACAGAGGGCUGCAAUACCGCAAGGUGGAGCGAAUCCCAAAAAGCCGGUCUCAGUUCGGAUUGGGGUCUGCAACUCGACCCCAUGAAGUCGGAGUCGCUAGUAAUCGCAGAUCAGCAACGCUGCGGUGAAUACGUUCCCGGGCCUUGUACACACCGCCCGUCAAGUCACGAAAGUCGGUAACACCCGAAGCCGGUGGCCUAACCGUAAGGAAGGAGCCGUCGAAGGUGGGACUGGUGAUUGGGACUAAGU
rnacentral:rRNA from 1 species